UGGGGAAUAUUGCACAAUGGGCGCAAGCCUGAUGCAGCAACGCCGCGUGAACGAUGAAGGUCUUCGGAUCGUAAAGUUCUGUUGCAGGGGAAGAUAAUGACGGUACCCUGUGAGGAAGCCCCGGCUAAUUACGUGCCAGCAGCCGCGGUAAUACGUAAGGUCCGAGCGUUGUCCGGAAUCAUUGGGCGUAAAGGGUACGUAGGCGGAUAAGCAAGUUAGAAGUGAAAUCCUAUAGCUCAACUAUAGUAAGCUUUUAAAACUGCUCAUCUUGAGGUAUGGAAGGGAAAGUGGAAUUCCUAGUGUAGCGGUGAAAUGCGCAGAUAUUAGGAGGAAUACCGGUGGCGAAGGCGACUUUCUGGCCAUAUACUGACGCUGAGGUACGAAAGCGUGGGUAGCAAACAGG
rnacentral:rRNA from 1 species